rnacentral:lncRNA from 1 species
AUAUCAACAAAGAAAUAUUUGGAUCUGCUCCCCAACGUAAAUGUGAUACGAAUCGAAGAAGGUUUAUUCCUUUUUCUGUUUUUUUAACUAUAUGGUCUAUAUGUUCUUUCCAGAGAAGCUGUCUAUC